GUGUCAGCAGCCGCGGUAAUACGUAGGUGGCAAGCGUUGUCCGGAAUUACUGGGCGUAAAGAGCGCGCAGGCGGCCGAGUAAGUCGAAUGUGAAAGCCCCCGGCUCAACUGGGGAAAGUCAUUCGAUACUGUUCGGCUAGAAGGUAGGAGAGGGAAGCGGAAUUUCAGGUGUAGUGGUGAAAUGCGUAGAUAUCUGAAGGAACACCAGUGGCGAAGGCGGCUUUCUGGCCUAUUCUUGACGCUGAGGCGCGAAAGCUAGGGGAGCGAACGGGAUUAGAAACCCUGGUAGUCC
rnacentral:rRNA from 1 species